rnacentral:rRNA from 1 species
AAGUUUCAACAACGGAUCUCUUGGCUCUCGCAUCGAUGAAGAACGCAGCGAAAUGCGAUAAGUAAUGUGAAUUGCAGAAUUCAGUGAAUCAUCGAAUCUUUGAACGCACCUUGCGCUCCUUGGGAUUCCUUGGAGCAUGCCUGUUUGAGUAUCAU